rnacentral:ncRNA from 1 species
UGUUUAUUAAAAACACAUGACUCUGCUAAGCGGUAACACGUGUAUAGAGUCUGACACCUGCCCGGGUCUGGAAGGUCGGAAAGAGAAGUGUGAUAAGCUUCAAAUGGAAGCCCCAGUAAACAGCGGCAAUAACUCUAACUGCCCUAAGGUAGCGAAAUUCCUUGUCGCAUAAGCAGCGACCUGCAUGAAUUAGGUG